UGUGGCUUAAAAGUGACUAGGUUACCAAGUUUUUUUUAACUGUUGUAUGUUUGGGAUUGUAGCAGUCGGUCCGCCGGAGAGGUGGAUUGGUCUCGGCUGCGCUGGCUGGUGGAGAAAGCACACGCACCUGGGUUGCGUUAGCUAAUCAGGGAGCUAACACCGAGAGCGCAGUUAUGAUUUUCGGUUCGUUUUAUUUGGAGCUCUGAAAAGAAAGGAACCCUCAGCUGGGAUGCUGGAGGAGCUGGACCUGGCUGGGAAGGAGCACAGUUGACCCACAGCACAGCUUUGUUCUCCCUUUCAUCUGCCAGACGACUCUAGUGCACAUCCUGCCAGUGAUGCGAGAACAACAGCAACAUAUCACUGCAGAUGAGCCAGUGCAGGCAAGAUGAGAGGCCCGCAUCUACCAGAGCAACAGGGAUGAACCCAAUACGACUAGCGCAACUCGAGAGCUGCAGCUGGAACUCCAAGGCACUCAACCACGUGUAUUCAAUGUGUAUUUCAACAAUGACUGGGAAGGAAGUGAAGAGGAGGCCGGUAAAAUGCCUGUUAGUUAAUCUAACUGAGCUCGACAGAGCCUAAGUUAAAGGAAUGUAUCAUACUGCUUUAAAAAAGAAACAAUAAAUGAUCUUGGUGUGUAUAAAAAACGCUAUAUGAUGCUAAAUAAACAUGUAGGUACAUGCUGA